AGCGAACACUGGCGGCAGGCCUAACACAUGCAAGUCGAACGAAGCCUUCGGGCUUAGUGGCGGACGGGUGAGUAACACGUGGGAACGUACCUUUUGGUUCGGAACAACUCAGGGAAACUUGAGCUAAUACCGGAUGAGCCCUUAGGGGGAAAGAUUUAUCGCCGAAAGAGCGGCCCGCGUUAGAUUAGCUAGUUGGUGAGGUAAAGGCUCACCAAGGCUACGAUCUAUAGCUGGUCUGAGAGGAUGAUCAGCCACACUGGGACUGAGACACGGCCCAGACUCCUACGGGAGGCAGCAGUGGGGAAUCUUGCGCAAUGGGCGAAAGCCUGACGCAGCCAUGCCGCGUGAAUGAUGAAGGUCUUAGGAUUGUAAAAUUCUUUUACCAGGGACGAUAAUGACGGUACCUGGAGAGAAAGCCCCGGCUAACUUCGUGCCAGCCGCCGCCGUAAAAC
rnacentral:rRNA from 1 species